rfam:Eucalyptus grandis cultivar BRASTZ1 unplaced genomic scaffold scaffold_8, whole genome shotgun sequence.
UGCCCUUAGUGGGUUUGGAUGCGGCUGACAAAUUUAGAAAGCCUAUGUGUUGUCAUCAGCUUCUUCACUUAAUUCGAGGAGUUGGAGUUGUUGAGUCACAGCACUAAAUUU